GACGAACGCUGGCGGCGUGCUUAACACAUGCAAGUCGAACGGAAAGGCCCUGCUUUUGUGGGGUGCUCGAGUGGCGAACGGGUGAGUAACACGUGAGUAACCUGCCCUUGACUUUGGGAUAACUUCAGGAAACUGGGGCUAAUACCGGAUAGGAGCUCCUGCUGCAUGGUGGGGGUUGGAAAGUUUCGGCGGUUGGGGAUGGACGCGCGGCUUAUCAGCUUGUUGGUGGGGUAGUGGCUUACCAAGGCUUUGACGGGUAGCCGGCCUGAGAGGGUGACCGGCCACAUUGGGACUGAGAUACGGCCCAGACUCCUACGGGAGGCAGCAGUGGGGAAUAUUGCACAAUGGGCGGAAGCCUGAUGCAGCAACGCCGCGUGCGGGAUGACGGCCUUCGGGUUGUAAACCGCUUUCGCCUGUGACGAAGCGUGAGUGACGGUAAUGUGUAAAGAAGCACCGGCUAACUACGUG
rnacentral:rRNA from 1 species